UACGUAGGGUGCAAGCGUUAAUCGGAAUUACUGGGCGUAAAGCGUGCGCAGGCGGUUGUGCAAGACAGAUGUGAAAUCCCCGGGCUCAACCUGGGAACUGCCAUUUGUGACUGCACGGCUGGAGUGCGGCAGAGGGGGGAUGGAAUUCCGCGUGUAGCAGUGAAAUGCGUAGAUAUGCGGAGGAACACCGAUGGCGAAGGCAAUCCCCUCGGGCCUGCACUGACGCUCAUGCACGAAGCGUGGG
rnacentral:rRNA from 1 species